rnacentral:rRNA from 1 species
AUGGACAUAUGUGUUGCUCAAUACGUAGCUCUAUGUGCGGUUACACUUGUAAUUGGAUGGCUAGUACACUGGGUAUACAGGUGGAUCAACCCGGUUUGCAACGGGGUUCUUCCUCCUGGCUCCAUGGGGCUCCCUGUUAUUGGUGAGACCUUGGAAUUCCUCAAGGCAAGCACUUCCUUGGACGUCCCAGACUACUUCAAACGAAGGAUGAAGAGGUACGGCCCGGUUUUCAAGACAAGCUUGCUGGGGCAGGCUGCGGUUGUUUCCACCGACGCCGAGGUCAACCGGUUUAUCCUUCAGCAGGAGGGCACCUUGUUCCGUGUUGGGUACCCUCGGGCACUGACCAAAAUAUUCGGCGAGGAGAGCAUCGAAGCUUUCCAUGGCACAAUCCACAAGUUCAUCCGUAGGUGCGCCUUCAUGCUGUUCGGUCUCCAGAGCCUCAAAGAGGUGCUCCUCCCCGAGAUGGAGUCCGCCGUGAGGGAGCGCCUUGCUGCGUGGGCCACCAUGCCGAGCGUCGACGUGCGGGGCGAUGCGCCCGACAUUCUUUUUGAGUUGGUGACGAGGAAGUGCCUUGGUUUCGAUUCCACCAGGUCGAGGGAACUGAGGAACAAGUUUGAAGUGCUUUUCUCAGGGUUGUGCUCCUUCCCAAUAUAUUUCCCUGGGACACCAUUUUACCGAUGCAUGCAGGCAAGGAAAAACGUGCAGAAGACAGUGCGGGAUACGUUGGCAGAGAGGUUAGCUACACCAGGGAAGAAACAUGGCGACCUCCUUGACAUAAUUGUCGAAGAACUGCAGGGUGAAGAGCCAUUAAUAAGUGAGAAUUUCGCUACUGAUAUGGUCUCCACGCUGUUGUUCGCCAGUGUCUUCACGCUAUCAGGGACCAUCGCUGUAGCCUUCAAGUCACUCCAUGACAAUCCGGACGUUGUCCACGCCCUCGAGGUUGGUUUUAUGUUGGUUUUUUUACAGUACAUUAUACUACUUCUGGGACCAAGUAGCUAUACAAUUCCAGCCGGAUGGUUGGUCAUAGUUAACCCUAUGGCAGUUCAUCUGAACGGAGAACUGUUUGAAGAUCCACUCAAGUUUAACCCAUGGAGGUGGAUGGAUGAGUCAAAGCGCAGCACAAUGCUGAAGAAUUUCAUGCCAUUCGGAGCAGGUAUGAGGGUUUGUCCUGGCGCAGAGUUUGUCAAGUUGUUCAUAACACUUACCCUCCACAUUUUGGUGACCGAGUAUAGGUGUAUGGGAAGAAAUGAAAGUGUAUUCCGAAGCGGUGAGGUCAUGUUCCCGCAGGGCUACCCCAUUCGACUUCGACCCCAGGAUGACUAA